GGAGGGCUACGCUAAUGGUAAGCGACCUGACUUGAAAUCAGGCGGCCGUGAGGCCUUGCGGGUUCGAGUCCUGCGCCCUCCG
rnacentral:tRNA from 2 species